CACGUAGGGGGCGAGCGUUGUCCGGAUUUAUUGGGCGUAAAGAGCUUGUAGGCGGUUCCGUAAGUCGUGAAGUCAAAUCUCUGGGCUCAACCCAGAAUCGCUUCCGAUACUGCGGUGACUGGAGUCCGGUAGGGGAGUGUGGAAUUCCUGGUGUAGCGGUGAAAUGCGCAGAUAUCAGGAGGAACACCAACAGCGAAGGCAGCACUCUGGGCCGGUACUGACGCUGAGGAGCGAAAGCAUGGGGAGCGAACAGG
rnacentral:rRNA from 1 species